rnacentral:misc_RNA from 1 species
UUAUUUUCCUCCAAAAAAUUAUCAUUCAUCACAAAUUCUUACAACGUAAUCUGCUAAAAUCACAAUAAAAUAUGCAAUGAAGAAAUCAUACCAAAAUCAUGAGUGCUUAGAAUUGGAGAUAUCCUGAUCAGCAUCGGGAUCGGAAUCGGAAAUGGAUUUACAAAGCCUGUUAUAUUCCUCGAGCUCCUCAUAAUACACAUCCCACACGCACCUCACGCAUCCGCUUCCACAGCAAUCGCCAGGCUCUGGCUUCUCCGGCGGCGGAGGCAGUUUCUUCUUCUCUUCUUCCUUGUCUUUUUCUUCUACUUUCUUGUUCAUCUUAUCUGGCAGCAGCGGUUGAUCGGUGUUCGUGGCCAUGUGCUGUUGAGAGCCAACAGAGAAAGAUUUUGGAACUGGUAAUCUGGUAUUGGUAAGGAUUAUUUUCGCCGAUACUCGUAUGAGGGUCAGAUCUCUCAUGCCCGUCGCCGCCAAGCCAGUAUUUCGGGUUAAGACAUUUUUAGGGAUGACGGUUGCGUAUCUAAACAAAGAAUGAUAACAAUGCGAUGUCGUUUCCAUGCACUGAA